rnacentral:rRNA from 1 species
GACGAACGCUGGCGGCGUGCCUAAUACAUGCAAGUAGAACGCUGAAGAGAGGAGCUUGCUCUUCUUGGAUGAGUUGCGAACGGGUGAGUAACGCGUAGGUAACCUGCCUUGUAGCGGGGGAUAACUAUUGGAAACGAUAGCUAAUACCGCAUAACAAUGGAUGACACAUGUCAUUUAUUUGAAAGGGGCAAUUGCUCCACUACAAGAUGGACCUGCGUUGUAUUAGCUAGUAGGUGAGGUAAUGGCUCACCUAGGCGACGAUACAUAGCCGACCUGGGAGGGUGAUCGGCCACGCUGGGACUGAGACACGGCCCAGACUCCUACGGGAGGCAGCAGUAGGGAAUCUUCGGCAAUGGGGGCAACCCUGACCGAGCAACGCCGCGUGAGUGAAGAAGGUUUUCGGAUCGUAAAGCUCUGUUGUAAGUCAAGAACGGGUGUGAGAGUGGAAAGUUCACACUGUGACGGUAGCUUACCAGAAAGGGACGGCUAACUACGUG